rnacentral:rRNA from 1 species
UCUGGUGACAAUGGCAAGGAGGUCACACCUGUUCCUAUGCCGAACACAGAAGUUAAGCUCCUUAGCGCCGAUGGUAGUCGGACUAACGUUCCGCUAGAGUAGGACGUUGCCAGGC